UACCAGCACCCCGAGUGGUCGGGACGAUUAUUGGGCCUAAAGCAUCCGUAGCCGGUUUUACAAGUCCUCCGUUAAAUCCAACUGCUUAACAGGUGGGCCGCGGAGGAUACUAUAAGACUAGGAGGCAGGAGAGGCAAGCGGUACUCAGUGGGUAGGGGUAAAAUCCGUUGAUCCAUUGAAGACCACCAGUGGCGAAGGCGGCUUGCCAGAAUGCGCUCGACGGUGAGGGAUGAAAGCUGGGGGAGCAAACGGG
rnacentral:rRNA from 1 species